GCUCAGGCUGGGCCGGAGACAGUUCAACGCCAGGAGGAGCAUCUGCAGCCCUAGGUGAGGCUGCCCCCAGGGUAGCCCCAUGACAGCUGCCAGCACCCGGGAGGCUCAGGGGCUGGUCUGGCUGCUUCGGGCUGCACCUCACCCCCAACAGCUUGGCCCUGGAGAAGCUGGUUAAUCAGGCUGCCCCAGGGGCUGGAAAGACCUGCAAAUGAAGAAGAACUUGGAUUCAGAGAAAGGGCUGCAGAGCCCUUGACAGCUGACAAGCCCGCCACUUAAACACUACUCCCGGGAUUUGGCGCUCACUAUGUGUGUAUUUUUCAAGACAUAACUCACAUACCUUCACAACCUUCACAGCUCAGUGGCUUAAAUAUAUAUAUGUCACCCAGGGAGGUCAGUUCACAGCUAACUGGAGCCUCAAACUCCCAGGUUCAGUUAAUCCUCCCACCUCAGCCUUCCCAGUAGCUGGAACCACAGGCACACAACACCAUGCUCCGGCUAAUUUUUAAAAUUUAUUUAAUUAAUUUUUUUUUAAGAUGGAGUCUCCUUUGUUGUCCAGGCUGGAGUGCAGUGGCGUGAUCUGGGCUCACUGCAACCUCCGCCUCCUGGGUUCAAGCGAUUCUCCUGCCUCAGCCUCCCAAGUAGCUGGGAUUACAGGCAUGUGCCCCACGGCCAGCUAAUUUUUGUAUUUUUAGUAGGGACGGGGUUUCACCAUGUUGGCUUGGCUGGUCUCAAAUUCCUGAUCUCAAGUGAUCCACCCGCCUUGGCCUCCCAAAGUGCUGGGAUUACAGGCAUGUGCCACCGUGCCUGGCACCCCCGCCAAUUUUUUUUUUGUUUUUUUUGAAACGGAGUUUUCACUCUUGUUGCCCAGGCUGGAGUACAAUGGCUCGAUCUUGGCUCACCGCAACCUCCACCUCCUGGGUUCAAGUGAUUCUCCUGCCUCAGCCUCCUGAGUAGCUGGGAUUACAGGCAUGUGCCACCACACCUGUCUAAUUUUGUAUUUUUAGUAGAGAUAGGGUUUCUCCACGUUGGUGAGGCUGGUCUCGAACUCCUGACCUCAGGUGAUCCACCCACCUCAGCCUCCCAAAGCGCUGGGAUUGCAGGUGUGAGCCACUGCGCCCGGCUGGCCAAUUUUUAAAAAUGUAUUUUUUAUAGAAACAGGAUCUUGCUAUGUUGCCCAGGCUGAUCUCUAACUCCUGGGAGGAUCAAGCAAAUCUCCUGCCUUGGCCUCCUAAAGUAUUGGGAUUACAGGCGUGAGCCACCGUGCCUGGCUAUUUUUUUUUUUUUUUGAGACAUGGAGUCUCACCCUGUCGCCCAGGCUGGAGUGCAAUGGCGUGAUCUCUGCUCACUGCAACCUCCACCUCCUGGGUUCAAGCAAUUCUUCUGCCUCAGCCUCCCUAGUAGCUGGGACUACAGGCACCUACCACCAUGCCCAGCUAAUUUUUGUAUUUUUAGUAGAGAUGAGGUUUCACCAACUUGGCCAGGCUGGUCUCGAACGCCUGACCUCGCGAUCUACCUGCCUUGGCCUCCCAAAGUGCUGGGAUUACAGGCAUGAGCCACUGCGCCCAGCUGCUAAUUUUUAAAAAUAUAGUUUUUGAGGCUGGGUGUAGUGACUUACGGCGGUAAUCCCAGCACUUUGGGAGGCCGAGGUGGGCAGGUCACUUGAGGUCAUGAGUUCGAGACCAGCCUGGCGAACAUGGUGAAACCCUGUCUCGACUAAAAUUACAAAAAUUAGCCGGGUGUGGUGGAACGUGCUUGUAAUCCCAAGUACUCGGGAGGCUGAGGCAGGAGAAUGACUUGAACCCGGGAGGCGGAGGUUGCAGUGAGCUGAGAUCGCACCACCGCACUACAGCGUGGAUGACAGAGUGAGACUCUGUCUCAAAAAAAAUAUAAUAAAAAUAUAUUUCUUGUAGAGACAGGGUCUCACUGUGUUGCCCAGCCUGGUCUUGAACUCCUGGCUCAAGGGAUCCUCCUGCCUCAGCCUCCCAAAGUGCCCAGAUUACAGGCAUGAGCCACAGCGCCCAACAGCUUUUAGUAUAUCAACAAGGUUGUGCAACCAUCACCAAUUCCAGAACCUUCUUACUUCCCCAAAACGAAACACUACACCCAUUAAACGGUAACUCUCCAUUCUCCCGUCCCCA